rnacentral:rRNA from 1 species
GGAAGGCGGGGAUGACGUCAAGUCAGCAUGCCCCUUACACCCUGGGCUACACACGUGCUACAUUGGGCGAGACAAUGAGAUGCAAAUCUGCGAAGAUAAGCUAAUCUAUAAACUCGUUCUAAGUUCGGAUUGUAGGCUGCAACUCGCCUACAUGAAGAUGGAAUCGCUAGUAAUCGCUGGUCAGCAUACAGCGGUGAAUCCGUUCCCGGGCCUUGUACACACCG